rnacentral:rRNA from 1 species
CGAACGCUGGCGGCGUGCCUAAUACAUGCAAGUCGAACGAACCGCGACUAAGUGCUUGCACUAAGUCAAGGUGAGUGGCGAACGGGUGAGUAACACGUGGGUAACCUACCUCAUAGUGGGGGAUAACAGUCGGAAACGACUGCUAAUACCGCAUAGGACAUAGGAUCACAUGAUCCAGUGAGGAAAGGUGGCGCAAGCUAUCGCUAAGAGAUGGACCCGCGGUGCAUUAGCUAGUUGGUAGGGUAAAGGCCUACCAAGGCGAUGAUGCAUAGCCGACCUGAGAGGGUGAUCGGCCACAUUGGGACUGAGACACGGCCCAAACUCCUACGGGAGGCAGCAGUAGGGAAUCUUCCGCAAUGGACGCAAGUCUGACGGAGCAACGCCGCGUGAGUGGAGAAGGUCUUCGGAUCGUAAAGCUCUGUUGUUAGAGAAGAACAGCGCAUAGAGUAACUGCUAUGCGUGUGACGGUAUCUAACCAGAAAGCCACGGCUAACUACGUG